GGGCCACCGCCGGCAGGGACCUAGACCAGGGUCCCCUAGAUCACGUUCUAAGAAGAACAGUUUGAAGAACCAAGUGUGUGCAGACUCCAGAGUGCUGGAGCUCAGCUGACAAACCUUAGGACUGUCCUGGGCUCCAAAGGCAGCAGUCGGUGGCCAGAGGCAACACAGGAGCAGACUUCCAUGCAGUUUCAGGAGUGCUUUCCAACAGUCUUGCCGAAGCGUCAGUAGGUGUUCCAGGGAACACAGCCCAGGAUUUGCAGCUUGGAAAAAUGACUGUGGACACCGCCACAUCACCUCUGCCCUCCACUGCAGGGUAUCAGUGCCAGAAGAGUUUGGGAAGCACGGUGGAGAUGCAGAGAUGCAGUCCCUGUCAAAGGCAGCAAUUAAGCAGCUGGUGGAGAUGACAAUCUGGUGAUGUUUACUGAACUAAAUGCAUGCACUCUUUGACCAUCAAUAUCCAUCCCAGGAAGGUACCCAGCACACGCACUAGAUCAUGCGCUCAAAGGUAGGUGCACUAUGAUGUACUCCACAAAAGCCUAGAAACAAAGUAAGUGUCCAUCAGCAAGGGAAGGGUAAUGGAAUACAGAGCAUCCCGUAGCAGGCCAGCCCGUGGGGUAAGUCAGUAACACAGAUGUACAUGUGCUGCGAAAAGCAAUCCUGAAAGCAUCCAGUGGAAGCAGUUGUGUGUAUAAUAUGCUACGGCACCUCAAAAAAGGGGGAAGGUAGUGGAUACACUGAGCCAAUAUACACUGAACCUAGACACUCUCCAAGGAUAUGCAAGAGUUGUCUGCAGGGACUGCUUCUUAGCAGAGAUCUAAGGAGGUGGGAGGAGAAUUUAUGUUUCACUAAAUAUUCAUUUGUGGUGUUAGUUUGUUUGUUUGUUUAUUUUUUAAACAAUAAACAUGCAGGGCUGGGCAUGAUGGUACCCACCCGUGAUCUCAGCAUUUGGGAGGCUGAGGCAGGAGAAUUGCCAUGAGUUCCAGGCCAACCUGGCUAGAGAAGCAAGUUCAAGGCCAGCCUGCACUACAUAGUGAGAUCUUUCCUUAGAAAAAAUCAACGAACAUGCAAUAUGAGUUAGUAAAUGUU